rnacentral:lncRNA from 1 species
AAAAAAAAAAGUCAUAAGGAAAGAAAGUCUCUUUGCUAAAGCAUCGAACCUUUUUCACCACCAAUUUUCUCUAUCUUCGCUCAGGGAAGAGCGAUAUGAGCUCGCCCUAGUUUCUAGAGUUAUCGUGUAUAAACCGGUGCCGGUGAAGAUGUUUGAUCCCUGAAAGUCCACGAGAAAACGUGGAGAGCAAAAGGAACGAUAAAAUAGAAACGAACGAGGCGUUCAGUGGAAUCGUCGGUUAGAUAAUGGAUUUACGAUAUUUAUUGUUAGAAAAUCAAUCUAUUUGGACAAAUCUUUAAUUAAAAACGAACCUGAAUAAAGAACGAACGGAAUACUGAGAGGUUAUCGUCUUGAAAUAUCUUUGCAAAUAAAUAUCUAUAUUUUUCGCAAUAAUAUAUAUCCGCUUUUCUCAUUUUCUCGAGCAAUGAUUAUUUUAUUUUGCACGUGUACUUUGCCACAUAAGAUCCCUUCACGAAGGAACAUCCAUUUCUUCAGAAUGUACGCACACGCCCUUUGCAAAUAGGCAGUAAACUUCUUUGGAUAUAUGCAUCCCACCCUCCUUGAGUAAAGGCCACUUUUAUAGGCUAUAUACACGGACCUUUUGCGAAUAAAUGUUCCCUUAUCAAGUGCGUACGCUCCAUUAUACAUAAAUACAUAAAUAUAUACAUUUUUUGAAAUGCAUAAUCCCGUAAAUUUGAGAACUCGAGAUUCUAAUAUUAUUAAAAUAUGAUAUAAUACAUAAAAUUUUGCCAAUCUUUAAAUAAUUUUCAUCAAACAUCAAAUAGUAACGAUUAAUCGAAGCGACACAAUCCAAAACCAUAUCUGUCUCUAAAUAAGAGAUUCUUUUUUGAUUAGCUCACUCUCAUUAAAAUAUCUGCCUAUAACACUAUUAUCACAUAUAUAUAUGUAUCUACGUUUUUCCAAGAUUCAUCCCAAAACAGCAAAUUUCAACGAAACGACAUUCGCCUUAUUUUUCGAUGUAGCCAUUUCUCCUUUUCUCGAACGAAUUCGAGCGGCCAGAAACUUCUGUCCCUUUUCAACAAAGAAUUCGAUCUAACUCAAAGUCUCAAGCAAGCGUGGCAACUUGCGAGAGCGUCAGAAUUGAAGCGAAAAUUCCGAAUUCCCUAGAUAUUCGUCGAAUACGUGGCGGCAGACUUGCGAACUAUCGCGAUGAAACCUCUCUCUCUCUCUCUCUCUCUCUCUCACUCUCACCACACACACAGCCAGCUAUUCGCCGCUCAAAAAUUUCGAUCGCGAUUCUCAUGCAGAAGCGCGCUUCGGCAGUGAAAAACUGGAUCGCAUGCAAAAUUGAUCAGCCGCGAGUAGUGAAGAGUUUGGAACGCUUGGCCGAAACUCGACACGAGGGCCAACGGUCAACGUCGCCUCGUUUGCGCUUCCUUGUCCACCGGCAUCUCACUUUUCGCCCCGUCGUCUCUGUUUUCUAUUCCGAGGGCCGAUAUCGAUCCAACCGCGUGACGCUGGCUGCUGCCCGCUCAUUACUUUACUUUACUACGCUUGUACAUGUCGUUUUCUUGCACACGGCAGGCAAAAUAUUAUACUUAUACGCUUCUCGCUCGAAUAUGUUACGAGAUUUCCGAUCGAAAAAUUAUGCGUCACGCUUUCAGGAUGGAAUUACCAUUUUUUAUCAUCGAGAUAUCGUGAAUAUCGGAUAAGGAUUGGAUAAAGUCGAGCAUAAAUUCUAGCAUUGGCAAGUUCGCAUAAAGAUCGUAUCCUUAAUUUCGUCUCUGCCCACUAAUUUCCCCCUAGCGGCGCACAGUACAAUCUCGCAUAAGAAUUACGUACAAAAUGUGUCGCACGGUGGCGCGCGGUUCGCGCAAAAACGAGAAAGAGUACGUGCGUUACAUGCAUGCAGCGGAAUAUUUUAUUCGCUUACUUAAUACGCCACGUAUUUGCGACUCACGCUGCUUAAUAUUCGUGGUACGAGGGGGUGGAAGGAAAGUGAGUCCGGUUUACGUAAGUGCACGCUGGCAAUCGCAUUUUCCGAGGCGGGUAGAACGAAGAUAUAGAGAUACGGAGCAUUCAAUUUCAGACUGCGGACAGAAAGAGUGAGAGGCAAGAGUAGUCGGAUAGAGAGAGGUUAAGGAAAAGAAGAGCGUAAUAGGAAAUCGGACCGAGAGAUAGCGCCACAUACCGGAACGAAAGAAGAGAGAUUUAGUGGAAGAGAACGAAAUGCGGAGUCUCGUCAUUAACAGUUAACGGCCGUCGACUGUCGCGCGCGUUUAUUUACAUUGGGACACGGAAUAUGCUGUGGUGCACUCUGACUGAGAGAGCGGCGAGAUGCAUAAGGGGAUGUUUGUUGAAGCGAGUGGAACUGGAGAGGAUGUGAAUAAGAUAGAAAAAAAAGAAAGAAAGAAUAUCUUGAAUUUGAAUUAAAUGAAAUAUUUAUGAUCGCGAAAAAAAUUCUUAGAUAUUAAUAACAACAACAAUGAUAAUAAUAAAAGAAUGCUAACGGGAGAAUGAAUAUCAAAACAGUUUGAAUUAGAAACAAUUUCUUUGAAUAUCAGAAAUUCUAUUUUUUUUUUUUUUAAGAUGAAAGAUGUGUUCAAAGAAACGCGGAAGUAAAGAUACGUCGAAUAAGCAUGAACUUCAAUGAAUGCUUACAUUGUCAUUUACGCUGGGUAUGGCAUAGUAGUUUACAUUGAUUGCAUACUGCAGCUGCUAAGCGAUGAACUUACUACACUCUCUCUUCCCCAAUCGUCUAUUUUCUAAUAUCGGUUUCGACUCUCGUUAUAACCUAUACCACCAUCGAAUUGUUUUCUUUUGCCACUCUUUGUUUUAUACACGCAGUCAGUCAUAUUUGUUUCUCCGUCUUCACCUAUUUAUAAACUCGCCGAUACGUAUACGCUAUUCCCGCACUCAGUUGAAUGCGUUUAUUUAUUCAGCUGUUUGCACUUGCGAGCGAGCGAGUGAGAAUCAUGAACGGCUCGCGCACGUGUUAAUGGCGGUGGAAGCGUGUUCACGAAUCACGUGAUGUCAACUCCGCCACGGCAUAAUUUGCGUAUUAUUUAUGGCGUUGGUGUUGCGACUUUUCUCGAAAAAGAAUUUUCCAGGAACAUGAGAAUAGCUUAAGGACAUGAUUGUAUGAGUUUGUGAUACUUUUUUUCUUUCCAAACAAAGAAACGUAACUUCAACUUGUACGAAAAUUUAAUUGUGAAAAAUGAAAAGUGAAAAAAAGUAAGUAUAAAAAUAAACGAUUAGAGAAAACAAUAAUACGUGACUGGGUAACGAGUAAUUGAUAUCAUAUAUACAGUACUAAUAGUUUCACAAGUAUCUAAGUUUCGAGAUCAUCAAUUCACGGUCCAUCACAAACAGAAGUGUUAGUAAGACAAUUUGCAUUUCUGUUUAGAUUCAAUUUAUGUUACUAGUACUACAACUUAGUACCAUCUUAAUUUCUUGUAUAUAUUCGCCCAAUUCGCUACGAUAAAUGGAUCGCUAUGAUAUUUGCAUUAUAAAAAUUUCUAAAAAUAAAUUUAAAGUUUCUCAUUCCUUCCAUCUAAAUCUCUCAUAUUUACAUGGAGCAAUAGUAUAUCAUUUUCACUUGUUAUCAGCAAACUUUUGAAAACUUUCAACUUUCAUCUCCUGCCUCUUUCAUUCCAAUAGACAACGGACAAACUCGCUCAUAAAUUCUCCAAACGAGACCGUAUCCAACUGUAAAAAGAACAAGUCUCCGUAAAAAGCGGACCAACUCUUACUUCACCGAGUAUCUAUAUCGAACUGGCUCUGAAAUCGCGCUCAAGAAAACAGUCCAGAUGGCGCCACCGGUCGGCAAAGAACCCCGAUAAUCAGAGAUCAAAUGUCGGAAUCGGUAGUUCAUCGAACGGUCGCAGUGUUCUUGCUGAUUAUCGAGAUGCAAUCCCGGGACGGGAGAAUUGGGAGCAGACGGAAAAACGAACGGAAAGAAUAAAGGAACAGGCUGGAAAUGAGAAGAAGCGAAGAGAAGAGAGAGGCUGCCAAUGGCCAACGAACUCGAGAGGCGAGAAGAGGAAGGCGAGGCUCGAUCGGUAAAGAAGGAUCGCGACCAGUUUCUCGGAGACAAGUUGCGAGGUAUUAAGUAACUGGAAGCUUCGUGUCUUUAUCUCGAAGAGUAGAAGCGUAACGCGGAAACCUCUUCCUUGUUUCCCUUUCCGCCUCCCACCACCGCCCCCUCUCCACCUCGUUCACCUCGUUCGUAGAAUCUUCUACCGUUUGCGAGCGUCGAGCACGGGCACGAGAUAGAUUUUACGCAAGAAUCUCGGGGACGAAGCGGCGCAUUACGGAUAAUAAAGGAGAUUGACUCUAAAUUACAAAGUCCGUUGCAGACGGCCGCAUUGAAUACCUCUCAGGCACAGAAGCGUCGCCAAAUCGGUUUUACGGUCGGCAGGUGGUCCGACUGCUCUUCUGCACUUACGAUUCGUCUGCUUGUCUCAACUCCUCCCCCCACUCUCUCUCCCAUCCCAGUUGCAGCUAGCUUCGUUACCCCCACCCCAGUUCAGCCUAGUUUCUUCGCUAUUAAUUGUUACCGUUUCAACGUGGCGUGGCGCGCAGCGCACGAAGCUGGGCGACGAUAGCGCCACCGGCCUUCUUCCGUCGCGUUCUAAUUACACGAUUAAAAGAAAGUUAAUCCGCGGACGACACGCGGACGCGUAAACAAACGACGGGGAGAGACAAUCGGUCUCUCGGCGUGAGCGGAAGAACGACGACGACCGGGCGACGAGUAAUUUAACGCUCGACGAGAUUUAUUAAAAUUUUCUUCGUCUUUUUUCCUUUGGCCGGAGAGGAGAAUGGUUGUUGGAGGACGGCAUGCGGGCUCUUUCUCUCUCUCUCUCUCCCCGGUAUAAACGGUUUUUUGUAGCGAGCACGCCAGCGGCCCGGUUCUUUGUGGUAACGGCCACGAAUUUCCCCUCCGGUGCUGCCACUAAUUUUCGGAGUUAUACUCUUUUGUGCGCGCGUAAUUAUAAACACGUCCGCGCGUUCCUACCAAGUUUUCUCGCCGGACAACGGAAGCUUGUCUAACGGCGAUCUGUGAAUAUUUGUUCGUUUCAACGGGGAUGAUGAAAGGGAGAAGUUGAAAUUGGAUUCACUUGUUAAUAGAAUGUUUGUACGGUAAUAAUAUAAGAAUUUAAUAUUGCCAAGUGCGUUGAGAUUGAUUAACAGAUUUUUAGCUAGUCUAUCUUUUUCAAGAAGAAAGAUUUUGGAAUUGGUUGUUAUUAAUUUGGAUAAUCCAAGGGUUGACUAAUAAAUAAUAACUCUGCACCUGUAAUUCGUGUAAUCCGAAUUUUUAAUUUCACUUCGAUUGUCCUCACGAUAAUCCUCAUAAUUUAUAAGGCAUCUUGAGCAGCGUUGGAUAGAUUAGUCUGCUUAGCACGUAGUCGAAACACGAGCGUCUAAACGUGAGAUUGUAAGGCGAGAGGUGGUGGUGGUGGUGGUUGGUGGUGGUGGUGGUGGCCCAGUUUCGGUGAAAUGAAAUUUAUUUCAUUAGAAGCGCCUGUGACCGACGUAAAACGAAUUCUUGAGCCAUUUUCGACUUAAGACCGAGUCGGUUAAAAUUUCAAGGGAAUGAAAUUUUUUAGUUUGCUUCAUUGGCCAAGUGUUAAUUUGGCGAAAGGAUCAAAAAUUUGAAUGCUUGAUUCACCAUUAAUGAAAACGAGAGUGAUGCUUUUCUCUGCAAUUUUAAAAAGUUUAAUUUUGUUCAAUUUUUUUUUCUUCUAACGUAAAAAAAAAAACGAAUGUUAAACACUUCUUACAAGUAAUCCACGAGAGAAGAAGAAAUAAGAUCAAGGGACAUUUAAUCGUUGUGCAUGCGCGGCUAUUACGACUAGCUUUUCCAGCAAUCGUCGUAAAACGCACGACCACCAUCGUAUUGCUAGAAAUUUCACCGGAGUAGAAUCGUCAGACGCAUCGAGAGAACAGAAGAGAGUGAAAAAGAAAAGGAAAAAAAAGAAAGAAAGAAAGAAGAAAAAAGGAAUGAAAAGACCAACAAAACCUAAAACGCGUGGAAACGAGGUGGAAAGGUAGGCAAAACACAAGCAUCGUGUCUUAGCCCGAUAAAGGUAGGAUACGGAGUGGUUUAACCGCGAUGGUAAAAGUGCAGCGAGAUAUCCGCUCGGUGGAGCUCCGACGCGUCGAGACGGAGCUGAGCUUACACAAAGGAUAAAGACUAGGAGGGUGGAAGGAGGAUGAAGCUCAGAAAGGGUUUGGGUAGCAUGAAAUACGCGGAGAUGAAGAAAAGAGCAUUAUUUGAAUAAAAUAUUUGAAAAUUGAUUAUUUAAGUGAUCAAGUUACUCGAUUCAACUUUAAAGUAAAUUAUAACUGUAUGAGUA